GCUUUCGUGGUGUAAUGGUCAGCACACUGAGCCGGUAUUUCAGAGGUCCGUGGUUCGAUUCCCAGCAAAAGCA
rnacentral:tRNA from 1 species